rnacentral:rRNA from 1 species
AGUUACCAUCAUUAAGUUGGGGACUCUAGCGAGACUGCCAGUGAUAAACUGGAGGAAGGUGGGGGAUGACGUCAAAUCAUCAUGCCCCUUAUGACCUGGGCUACAAACGUGAUACAAUGGCUGAAACAAAGGGCAGCGAAGCAGUGAUGUGAAGCGAAACCCAAAAAAGCAGUCUCAGUUCGGAUUGAAGUCUGCAACUCGACUUCAUGAAGUCGGAAUCGCUAGUAAUCGCGAAUCAGAACGUCGCGGUGAAUACGUUCUCGGGGUUU